rnacentral:rRNA from 1 species
UACGUAGGGUGCGAGCGUUAAUCGGAAUUACUGGGCGUAAAGCGUGCGCAGGCGGUUCGUUGUGUCUGAUGUGAAAGCCCCGGGCUUAACCUGGGAAUGGCAUUGGAAACUGGCGAGCUGGAGUGUGGCAGGAGGGGGGUGGAAUUCCGCGUGUAGCAGUGAAAUGCGUAGAUAUGCGGAGGAACACCGAUGGCGAAGGCAAUCCCCUGGACCUGUACUGACGCUCAUGCACGAAAGCGUGGGGAGCAAACAGG